UGGGGAAUAUUGCACAAUGGGCGAAAGCCUGAUGCAGCAACGCCGCGUGAGUGAUGAAGGUCUUCGGAUUGUAAAGCUCUGUCUUUUGGGACGAUAAUGACGGUACCAAAGGAGGAAGCCACGGCUAACUACGUGCCAGCAGCCGCGGUAAUACGUAGGUGGCGAGCGUUGUCCGGAUUUACUGGGCGUAAAGGGUGCGUAGGCGGAUGUUUAAGUGAGAUGUGAAAUACCCGGGCUUAACUUGGGUGCUGCAUUUCAAACUGGAUAUCUAGAGUGCAGGAGAGGAGAAUGGGAUUCCUAGUGUAGCGGUGAAAUGCGUAGAGAUUAGGAAGAACACCAGUGGCGAAGGCGAUUCUCUGGACUGUAACUGACGCUGAGGCACGAAAGCGUGGGUAGCAAACAGGAUUAGAUACCCUGGUAGUCCACGCCGUAAACGAUGAGUACUAGGUGUAGGAGGUAUCGACCCCUUCUGUGCCGCAGUAAACACAUUAAGUACUCCGCCUGGGAAGUACGAUCGCAAGAUUAAAACUCUAAAGUGAAUUGAC
rnacentral:rRNA from 1 species